GUGAGGAAUAUUGGUCAAUGGACGGAAGUCUGAACCAGCCAUGCUGCGUGCAGGAAUAAGGUCCUAUGGAUUGUAAACUGCUUUUAUUCGGGAAUAAACCUCUUUACGUGUAGGGAGCUGAAGGUACCGAAGGAAUAAGCACCGGCUAACUCCGUGCCAGCAGCCGCGGUAAUACGGAGGGUGCAAGCGUUAUCCGGAAUCAUUGGGUUUAAAGGGUCCGCAGGCGGGCUAUCAAGUCAGAGGUGAAAUCCCACAGCUUAACUGUGGAACUGCCUUUGAAACUGAUGGUCUUGAAUUAAGUGGGCGUUGGCGGAAUAUGACAUGUAGCGGUGAAAUGCAUAGAUAUGUCAUGGAACACCGAAAGCGAAGGCAGCUAACGAUACUUAUAUUGACGCUCAUGGACGAAAGCGUGGGUAGCGAACAGGAUUAGAUACCCUAGUAGUCC
rnacentral:rRNA from 1 species